rnacentral:rRNA from 1 species
ACGGUCCUAAGGUAGCGAAAUUCCUUGUCGGGUAAGUUCCGACCUGCACGAAUGGCAUAACGAUGGCCACACUGUCUCCUCCCGAGACUCAGUGAAGUUGAAAUGUUUGUGAUGAUGCAAUCUACCCGCGGCUAGACGGAAAGACCCCAUGAACCUUUACUGCAGCUUUGCAUUGAACUGUGAACCGAUUUGUGUAGGAUAGGUGGGAGGCAGAGAAGAGGCCACGCCAGUGGUCUUGGAGCCGACCUUGAAAUACCACCCUGAUUUGUUUGCGGUUCUAACCACGGACAGUGAUCCUGUCUUGGGACCGUGCAUGGUAGGCAGUUUGACUGGGGCGGUCUCCUCCUAAAGGGUAACGGAGGAGUACGAAGGUACGCUAGGUACGGUCGGAAAUCGUGCUGAUAGUGCAAUGGCAAAAGCGUGCUUGACUGCGAGAGCAACAACUCGAGCAGAUGCGAAAGCAGGUCAUAGUGAUCCGGUGGCUCUGAAUGGAAGGGCCAUCGCUCAACGGAUAAAAGGUACUCUGGGGAUAACAGGCUGAUACCGCCCAAGAGUUCAUAUCGACGGCGGUGUUUGGCACCUCGAUGUCGGCUCAUCACAUCCUGGGGCUGUAUUCGGUCCCAAGGGUUCGGCUGUUCGCCGAUUAAAGUGGUACGCGAGCUGGGUUCAGAACGUCGCGAGACAGUUCGGUCCCUAUCUGUCGUGGGCGCAGGAUAUUUGAGGAGCUCUGUCCUUAGUACGAGAGGACCGGGAUGGACGUACCUCUGGUGCACCAGUUGUCAUGCCAAUGGCACGGCUGGGCAGCUACGUACGGAACGGAUAAACGCUGAAAGCAUCUAAGCGUGAAGCCGACUCCAAGAUUAGAUAUCCCAUUGCAUAAGCAAGUAAGACCCCUUGAGGACUACGAGGUUGAUAGGCUGCGUGUGUAAGUGUCGUGAGGCAUUUAGCUUGGCAGUACUAAUAGGUCGAGGGCUUGACCAC